rnacentral:rRNA from 1 species
CCUACGGGUGACAGCAGUCGAGAAUCUUUCACAAUGGGGGAAACCCUGAUGGUGCGACGCCGCGUGGGGGAAUGAAGGUCUUCGGAUUGUAAACCCCUGUCAUGUGGGAGCAAAUUAAAAAGAUAGUACCACAAGACGAAGAGACGGCUAACUCUGUGCCAGCAGCAGCGGUAAUACAGAGGUCUCAAGCGUUGUUCGGAAUCACUGGGCGUAAAGCAUGCGUAGGCUGUUUCGUAAGUCGUGUGUGAAAGGCGCGGGCUCAACCCGCGAACGGCACAUGAUACUGCGAGACUAGAGUAAUGGAGGGGGAAGCGGAAUUCGCGGUGUAGCAGUGAAAUGCGUAGAUAUCGAGAGGAACA